AUAGUUUGCAGCUAAACCCUGUCUUAUUUUCUUUUUUAGUCAUACUAACAUCCUUCAAUUUCAAAUUGUGUUAGGGAACCCAGAAUAUAAAAGAAGGUUAUCUAUAUUAGUUUUCUAUUGCUGGGUAACAAACUACCACAAAAUUAACGUUAAAAAAACACACACUUAUUAUCUCAUGGUUUCUGUGGAUAAGCUUAGCUGGGUACUCUGCUACUUAGGGUUUCACAAAGCUAAAAUCAAGGUGGAAGCUGGGCUGUGUUCUCAUCUGGAGGUUAGAAUGGGAAAGAAUCAACUUCUACUCUUACUCAGAUCAUAAGGCAUAAUUAAUUUCCUAGUGUCUACAGAACUGAAGGCCUGGGCUUCUUGCUUUCUAUCAGCUGAAGGCUUCCUUCAUCUUUUAGUGACUGCCUAGAGUUACCAGAGGCCACCCCGCUUCCUAGAGGCUGCCCACAGUUCUUUGCCAUUGGACUUUACUAACAUAGUGGCUUACUUCAUCAAGACAGCAAGGAGAGUCUCUAGAACAAGUCUGCUAACAGUAGAGUGUUUUACAUAAUGUGAUGUCAUCCCAUGUAUGACAUUACAUCCACCACCUUUGCCAUUUCCAUGGCUUAGAAGCAAGUCACAGGUCCUAACUCACACUCAAGGGGAGGAGGCCACACAAAGCAAUGACCAUCAGGAGAAGAGAUUAGAGGUGCCACCUUAGCAUUUGUCUGCCACACAGUCUUCCUAAGAAAACCAAGAUCUAGAAUUUCUAGUAGAAUUUUCUUUUGUUCAUCUAAGAAUCAAUUAAUUCUUAAUUCUAAGCUUGAAGUGUAACUGCUUUUUUAUGGCUUGGGAAACUGGGCCCAUGAAAGUGCAUCACCUCCCUCAUUCUCUGGACCACCUGCUAAUUUGCUGCAGAAAGAUCAACUGUGUGAACCAAGCUGAGUGUCUUCAGCAGCCCCUGAGUUGCUGCACUGUGAACUGGGUGUACAGACUGCUAAUGCUUUGGUUGGAGUUCUUUCAACAAGGAAAUUACUCGAUGCACCAGCUUUGAAGCGACGCGGCAUAUGCAUGCUCUAGAAAGGUAAAAUGCUAAGGCCUGUCCUGCUGAAGAGUCCAGUGGUCACACCAGCUUCACAUGACGUAGGAACACAGCUUCUCCACAACCUCUGACCAUCUCCAACCUCUGAAGUGGUUCUCUGGAUCUACUGUCCCAAUAUGCUGUGUUAUUUGUAACAUGCUGAGGGCUCUGCCCCACUUACAUUCCUUACCUCUUCUAGAUGAUGCAUUAAAAUAUUUUGUGAUCCAUAAUGAGUCUGAUUUGUGAAAUGAUUCAUUUACCCAAAUGUUUAUGAGCAUCUAUUACAGGGCAGUCUUGGUGACAGGUGGCAGAAUUUAAAGGAGAAACAUGAUAGUCAUUGCUUUGCCUCCUCUGAGCUAAAUAUCCUGCAAGGGAGACAAGUGCAUUAAAUAAGAAAUUACAGUAAUAAUUAUUAAAAAGCCAAGAAACAACAGAUGCUGGUGAGGCUAUGGAGAAAUAGGAAUGCUUUUACAUUGUUGGUGGGAAUGUAAAUUAGUUCAACUAUUAUGGAAGACAUUGUGACGAUUCCUCAAGGAUCUAGAACCAGAAACACCAUUUGGCCCAGCAAUCCCAUUACUGGGUAUAUACCCAAAGGCAUAUAUAUCAUUCCGUUAUAAAGAUACAUGCACACUUAUGUUUGUUGCAACAGUAUUCGCAACAGCAAAGACAUGGAACCAACCGAACUGCCCAUCAAUGAUAGACAGGAUAAAGAAAAUGUGGUACACACACACCACUCUAUGUGUAUAAUAUACACUAUGUGUAUAUCAUAUGUGGUACUAUGCAGCCACAAAAAGGAAUGAGAUCAUGUCCUUUGCAGGGACAACGAUGAAGCUGGAAGCCAUCAUCCUCAGUAAACUAACACAGGAACAGAAAACCAACACCGCAUGUUCUCACUCAUAAGUGGGAAUUGAACAAUAAUAACACAUGGACACAGGUAGGGGAACAACACACACUGGGGCCUGUUGGGCGGUGCCGGGGGAGGGGCGGGAGAGCAUCACGACAAAUAGCUAAUGCAUGCAGGCCUUAAAACUUAGGUGACGAGAUGAUAGGUGCGGUAAACCACCACAGCACAUGUAUACCUAUAUAACAACCCUGCACGUUCUGCACAUGUAUUCCAGAACUUAAAGUUAAAAUAAAUGAAUAAAUAAAUAGGAAUAAAAAUACAUUUUAAAAAAUUUAAAAAGAAAUUACAGUAAUAGUUGAUGAGCGCUGUCUUAGCAUUUGAAGGGGCAAUAAGAACAUAUAUGUAGCCAGAUAGCCUACCCUAGUCAAGUGGGACCAGAUAAUGCAUUUAAUAAACAGUUGUUGGGCAUCAUUACAUACAUAAGAUGACAUGUAGACUGGUGCUGGAAGAUUAUUUGGACUUGGUUCAAUGAAAAGGUGGCAAUGUAGGGGCAGGAACGGCAGUCAAGAUAGGGAGAAGAACAAGCAUGCAAGAAGACCAGAAACCAAAAAGAGGAAGGCAUUUAGAGAAAUUCAAGUAAGAUCAGCACAGCUGUCAAAGAGUAGUGAUCAGAGUAGGACUGGAGGAGGAGGCCAUGAGAGGUCUUUCAAGCCAAGCUAAAGAAUCUGAAAUGUGUGCUGAUAUAGCCCAAUGGUUACAUUGCUCACAAGGUGCCUACUAAAUAAGAGUAGACUUCUUUUGUAUUAUUAACAUCAAAUUUAUACAUUUCUGAGCACAAAUUGAAGUUAUCUUGUGCCACACAGGUCUUCAUUUAGAAAUACUCAAUAAAGGUCUAAUGAUUAUAAAACUGAAUGAUUUUGCCAAAUACAAAUUAUAAUGUCAUCUCUUUGUAAUGAUUUUGUAAUCCACGUAUUUGCACAUUUCCUUACUGAGCAUCUUAGCAAAUAAUAUUUUAUCUUUAAAAACAGUUCUUUAACCUUUAUCAAAAGCUUAAUUCCAAAAAAAAAAACUUUAAAGGCACUGAAAUAGAUGAUUGCAAAUUUCCAAUGCACUGAAAUAUAAUCAUAAGCACAUUGAAUGGAAACGCUAUAAAUAAAA
rnacentral:lncRNA from 1 species